CUUUCAUCUUCUCCUCCCACCUCCCCACCACAAACCUUUAAAAAACAUCAAAUUCUUGAGGAUUUCCCUUAUUUGACCGUUCUGGGUUUCGCCGUUCCCGCACUGUGGAUUCACUCAGGUCACUUCUCUGGCUACGUGUUACGGACACCUGGACGUCCCGUUCUGCAUGAUAGAGAGAGAAAAAGAGAAAGGCAGGGAGGAGAUAAGGUCAUAAAUAAGAACAGUCAAUGAAGAGAGAGAGACAGACAGUAACACAGAGAGAGAGAGAGAGAGAGGGUAGUACAUAGCAGCAGUACAGCUUCUUUUGGUAUUGGGGUUUGUGGAGGUUGCUCCCAUUUUUUCUUCGUUUUGUCUUAUUUUUUGCCAUUGAGCGAAACCCUAAAUUUAUUUUACACCAAAAUAGUAUUACUCGUAGAUUUUUCUGACAUUUUGGUAUCUUUCCUUAUAUGGGUUUUAUUUUUCUUUCUUCCUGGGUUCUCAGAUCUGACCCGUUUCAAUCAGUCUUUUCAUUACUUUUUUGCUUUCAAGUUUUUCUUUCUUCACAAACUUUUUCUUCUUAUUAAUCAAAAGAAAUUGGCAAUUGGGUAGUUAUAUUAUUGUGGUGAGUGUUAAUUUGGUUGGGACUUAGGGUAGAAAUUGACAGAAGAGAGUGAGCACACAGAGGCACUUGCCAUAAAGCGUAUGCCAUUGCUUUUGCGUGCUCAUGUCUCUGUCUGUCAGCUUCCCCAUUUCCACUGCCGGAUUAAUAUCAAGUUCUUCAUUUUUUCCUUCUCAUCCCCAUCCUUCUUCUGGUCUCUCUUUAAUUUAUUUCACCAGUUCCCCUCUCUUCUCUCUCUCUCUCUCAAAAUCUUUUAUUUAUGGUGCUUAAUUAACUGCUCAAAAGGGAAUUCAGACUUCAAAGUAAACUGAAUCCCUAAGCCUAGCGUAGCUAAGAAAGCAUGCUCCUGUUACUCUCUUGAAAUCGGUAAGUGAUUAUAUGUAUAUUAUAUCAAUUAUUUUAUGUUAUCUUAUCAGAAACUGGUGAAAUGAGAGCGUGACUUUUGAUAUUGUUUUAUAUAUAAGAAUGUGGAUAUAUCUGUUUACUGUGCGAAAUUAGCGGCAAAAACCAGGUUAUCAAGCAUAGCAUUAGUACGGGACCAUCAUUCACGCUCUCUGGUAUUAGUAUGGUCCUCCCUUUCUCUCCCUUCCUUCCUCACUCGUCAUCUUGAAACCCUGAUGUAGUCCAAAAAUUGGUAAUUUUGAUUCCUUUUUAAAUUCAUACGCAUGCGAUUCUUACUUGGAAACUGGUUCUUUGUUUGGACCUUUUUUGUUAUUUGGUUUAAUUAAUGGAUUUCUGUAGAACCCUAUUUAGCAGCCUGAGUAGGGUUGAUUUGCUUGCUUUACUAUUGAUUACAAAAUUUUAUUUUAAACCAGCUAGUUAGUUAAUUUCACACCCAUUAUCUUUGAAAAUAUCAUCAGUGAAUGCAUAUAGUUCUUAUAAUUCUAUUGUGAUUUAAUAUGAUGAUCGAAGAUAAAACGACUAUGGUUUUGUUAUCUGGCUCUUGUUUGUUUGGUUGAUUUUGCAGGUAAGGUUUAUGGAUUGAUACAACGGUCCACCCAUUGUCAAGUUGAAAGUAUUUUCUUCCUUUUUUUGGGCUUGUGUAUGGAGCUAUAUCUUUCAAGUUUCAUCAGAUGAAAACUUAACAGGAUACUAUUGAUUCAUCGUCAUAGUAUAUAAUAUAUCACAUCUGCCUGUUGGACGUUGCUUUUGAGUUCAUCAUCCCCAGUAUGGCGUUAGUGUUGGAGCUCAGCUAUUCUCUUUCACUGCGGAUGGCCAUGGGGAGAUAUGUCUGCGAUAAUGGAGCCCCUCUUUUGUUUAUUUCAGCGGAGGAUCUGGAUUCGCUACACUUCGUGUAGGUUUGGAGAGCGUGGAGUUCAACCAGUAAGUGCUUUCCCAUAUUUUUGGAAGCCUUUGUAAAGACCGACACGAAUUGGCCUCUUCAUGCAGUUAAUUCUCUUACAAUUUUCAAUUAUUAUUUAGUGGUAGAUGCCUUUUUGUACAAGGCUUUAAUGGAAAAAUCAUUGUAUGUAUGUUCUUGUUUACUUUUGAACAAAAUUAAUUCUGGGAAUGGUUUUUUCAUACAAGUAUAUGGAAAUAUGGUA